UCUCGGCCCCAAACUAAAGGAGAAAAAAGCCCCACUCAGCCACCCGAGACCCAUCGUCCCCAGCCACACGACCACACGACCCCCCUCCACCCCGCCGCCGCGACGACCUCCCCCAGCGCGCCGGCGGUCGGACCCUCCCCUUGCGCGCCGUCGCCUGACCCCUCCCCCAGCGCGUCCCCGCCCGAACCCUCCCCCAGCACACCGCCGCCUUCCCCAUCUACCCAGCGCGCCGCCGCCAGCCCCCUCCCCCAGCUUGCCACGGUCGGCCCUCCCCCAGCGCGCCGCCGAGCGCCUCAUCUACUACCGCCAUCGCCUCACCUUCUCCUCCGCGGAUAAGUUCAUCGAUGAGCGAGGACUCCAGAUCGAGCCGGCCGACACCAACCUGCUGGCGUGCCACCCCCGCCCAAGCCAUCUCCUCCACCACGGCGCCCCGCUGCCGAUUCUAACCAUGGGCACGCACAAGAGCCACCUCCGGUACUUGGUGCAGACUUGGUAGCGGUGAUAUUUUGGUCUAAUUAUAUAUCAACAACAGUGCAAUGACAGAAAAAAACAUUAGUUCAAAAUAUAUAUGCAAGAUGUUUGGGAGCUCCAUGCCGUCACCCGCCGGCGCACCUCUGCCUCUCUGUGGGCAGUGGAUCCUCCGCCACAGGUCAACCUCAUGGCAGCGGGCAGUUCGACGCUCCCUGUCGUGCUAUGUUCAACGCUCCCUCGAGCUCCACUAGAACUACUUUCCGGCUGCGUCUGCACCUCUGAAAAGGUUAAACCAUUGAAAGCGAGCACACAAAGCUGCAGAGGCAACAACUCCAAAGGAACCAGUACGGUGAUGUGUUUACAGUAUUCCUAAAAUAAAUGUAGUAAUGCUGUGAUUAAUACUAACAUUGAUGGAUCAGUCGUUUGUAUUGAAAAAAUCGUCAUACUCCGUUAAGCCAGGUUCUAUUCGUUUUGAUUUUUA